CCGCUCCAACCUCGCCCCUUCCCGCGCAGGGGCGCUCGCCUUCUUGACUCCAGGCUUGAGAAGAAAAUAGGGAACUGAGAGCUGCAGGACCUCUAGACCUGCGUUAUCGUAUUCUGAUUUUAUUAUUUUACUCUAAUUUUAUUAUUUACAGAGAAUUAAAAAGUCCAAGAGCAACAGAAAGAUGAACCCACAAAAAAUUUUUGAAAGAGAAAAAUAAAUUUGAUAGCGAUUUUUUGCCUGAACUUUGAAAUCCGUGAACCUGACAGUCUGAAUUUGUCUCAGCAGAUUUUCACCUGUUUGACUCUGUUCCGGGAUCAGCUAUGGACUGCAAGCUGAAAUCUGGACUUCCUGGAAACUGACAUGAUUGCUCCCUGCCCCUUCGGGUGGAUCAAUUAACCAGUGCUGCUGGUCAGAAGGAGAGUCGUCCCAGCGCCGCCAUCUUGUCGAAUCUUGAAUUUUGACAUUCUAACCAACAAGAAUUUAUAUACAGGAGAAGUAAUUCUACUUGGGGCACUUGGUGACUUCCAAAUACCACAGAAAGCAUGGCACCACAGCAGAUGGAGCACUUGCAGAUGGUGACAGUGAGGAGACCAUCCACAUGAAGUCAGUCCAUAUGAUAAAAAGAUUGCCAGGUGCCCACUGGAGCAGCCCAACCCCUGAAGAACUGUUUGUCCACUUUCUGUUUCCUACAGACAGAGGAAUGGAAUGCUUUCCUUUUCUUCAGAAAGGGUGGCCAUGGAACCCACUUCUGGCCAGUGAAAUAUAAGAGGCAUUAAAAGAAGCUAGGGCCUUAAGAGGAAUUUUCUUUUAUUAUUUUUAAUUUUUUAUUUAUUUUUUUGUUUGUUACAGUUUAUUUACUUUGUAUCCCAACUGUAGCUUCCUCCCUCUUCCCCUCCCAAUCCCACCUUCCCUCCCUUUUCUUCUUCCUUGCCCCUUCCCCAGUCCACUGAUAGGGGAGGUCCUCCUCCCAUUCCAUCUGACCCUAGCCUAUCAGGUUUCAUCAGGACUGGCUGCAUUGUCUUAUGAGGAGCUUUCUUACUUCUGGCCAAGAGACAAGAGAAUAAAGGAGAAACUGCUGCUUGCCUUCCAUGCUCCCUGCCCUUGAACAUGGUGUGUGAGCAGAGACUUCUGGGAGGGAACAUGGGCAUCACAGACACAGCCACACAAGCACCUGACCUGGUGAGGGAUUGUACACACCAGCAAGCAACAGCUUCCAGACCUCUUGUUAUCUAUGGAAAGAAAAUGACAGUGUGCGUGGGUCUGGAUGGUGGAACCCUGUCUUUCUAACUAGUUGACAAACUCUUUGCAUUACAUAACGAUUGUCCAGCAUCUCAAGGGACCAAAUUACUGUCUAUAGUCAUCCACAAGCAAAAAGAAAACAAGUCCUCCAAAUCCCAUGGAACAGUGUUAUGGGGAUUAUGGAAGGUUAAAGUUCCCUUUCCUGUAACUACAAUAUAUUUAAGCGGUUGUGAGAGAACCCUGUGUGAAAGAAAUAUUUAUGAUCAAAUACAUUAGCUUUUUAAAAAUGGAGUAUUUAUGCAAAUGAAUGAUUCUCUUUAUAAGACAAAUAACUUUUGAGUCCUUCUAAAUGUUAAAUCCUAUUGUCAAUAGAAGGGAACCACAAAAUACUUGCAGUGGUAAAGCAUUGGGCCAAUAGAGGGUUGGUUAUAAAAUAUUACGACAACCUCAUAAAUUCCAUAAGAAGAAGUGGGGAAAUAUUUAGAUGU